rnacentral:rRNA from 1 species
CCUACGGGUGUCUGCAGUGGGGAAUAUUGCACAAUGGGGGAAACCCUGAUGCAGCGACGCCGCGUGAGUGAAGAAGUAUUUCGGUAUGUAAAGCUCUAUCAGCAGGGAAGAACAUGAUGGUACCUGAUUAAUAAGCCCCGGCUAACUACGUGCCAGCAGCCGCGGUAAUACGUAGGGCGCAAGCGUUAUCCGGACUUACUGGGUGUAAAGGUAGCGGAGACGGGAGCACAAGUCUGGAGUGAAAGGCCGGGGCUUAACCCGGGAACUGCUUUGGAGACUGUGCAGCUAGAGUGCAGUAGAGGUAAGGGGAAGUCCUAGUGUAGCGGUGAAAUGCGUAGAGAUGAGGAGGAACACCAGAGGCGAAGGCGGCUUACUGGACUGUAACUGACGUUGAGGCUCGAAAGCGUGGGGAGCAAACAGGAGUAGAUACCCUUGUAGUC